UUUCCGUAGGUGAACCUGCGGAAGGAUCAUUAAAGAGUAAGGGUCUCCGGCCCGAACCUCCAACCCUCUGUCGUUAUAACUACCAAAACUUGCUUUGGUGGGACCGUCCCCCGGGGCGCGUCGGUCGAAAGAUUGACGGAGCGCCCGCCAGAGUCCAACCAAACUCUUGUAUUAAACCAGUCGUCUGAGUACAAAAUUUUAAUUAAAUUAAAACUUUCAACAACGGAUCUCUUGGUUCUCGCAUCGAUGAAGAACGCAGC
rnacentral:misc_RNA from 1 species